rnacentral:rRNA from 1 species
UACGGAGGGGGCUAGCGUUGUCCGAAGUUACUGGGCGUAAAGCGCGCGUAGGCGGGUUGGUAAGUCCGCUGUGAAAGCCCGGAGCUCAACUCCGGAGGGUCGGUGGAUACUGCCAGUCUUGAAGGUGCUAGGGGGAGAUGGAAUUACCGGUGUAGCGGUGAAAUGCGCAGAUAUCGGGAGGAACACCAAUGGCGAAGGCAGCUCGCUGGGACGGUACUGACGCUGAGACGCGAAAGCGUGGGGAGCAAACAGGG